UAUAUUUCAUAUUUUUCCCAGUACAGAUUUUUUUUUUCUUCCAUUUCAUUUAAUACGUUCUCAUUUGUUUCUCGCUACGUCUGUCUGACAUAUUUUCUUUGCGUCUUAUUAUAGUUUUUUUUAUAAAAUCAUUUUACCCAUAAUAUAAACUUCACGCACAGCAUAUAAUAUUGUAGUACACGUUUGUUACCUACAAGAACUUAACUUGAGUCCACGUCAUCGUCUCAAAAUAAAAUGGAGCUGCGACUAAUUAAGUGAGUAGUGAAAUUGCCCACAUAAAAGUGUCACUAAAGAGCGACUUCUUUCUCAAGACUAGUUAUUCUUGCAGUUUCGACGAUAAAAGAUAGUUUGAAGCUCGAAUCCGAACUAAAUGUUGAUUUUGGACGAGUUAUUUGAAGUGCGAUUGUUUAUGGCAAGUUUUCUUUACAACAAAAGCUUUUAUAAGUAGUCAUAUUGGAGACUGAUCCUGGUCGCAGAGCUGGAUUGAGUGAGUGUACGGGUUUUCGUAUUAUACUGCAGCGGUGGUUUGAAAUGUUUGAAUUCAAACAUGCUCAUCUAGAGCGAAUAAAUUGGCGUCGAAAGUGCACAACCGUGGAACUGGUGACCAAAAUAAUGGCCACUGAAAGUAGCCAGGAGUCGGAGUGGUAUCAUUUUUAUAUCACAAACAGGAUUUUAUGAUGCAAGUCCGUGGAAAAAUAAUGUUCAGGCAUAUGAUGGACAAUAUUGUAUAGUGUCAUUCAGUGCAAGUCCAAUUCUUCCAUCGAUACCGACUCGUCUGUUGAUGUCUUCUUGACGUUAAAGUCAGGAGUACGAAGUUCAACCCACCGUGCAGCAACAGUGAAGACUCCUAAGUAUAAUUCGUUCAUCGUAUACUUUAUAAUAUACUAUUUAAAAAUGAUAUUGUAGUGUUUAGAAAUUUAAGUUUAUAAACAAAC